UACGAAGGUCCCGAGCGUUGUUCGGAAUCACUGGGCGUAAAGGGAGCGUAGGCGGCGCGGUAAGUCAGAUGUGAAAAUCCCGGGGCUCAACCCCGGAACUGCAUCCGAUACUGCCGGACUAGAGUUCGGAAGAGGCGAGUGGAAUUCCCGGUGUAGCGGUGAAAUGCGCAGAUAUCGGGAGGAACACCAAUGGCGAAGGCAGCUCGCUGGGACGUUACUGACGCUGAGACGCGAAAGCGUGGGGAGCAAACAGGG
rnacentral:rRNA from 1 species